GAAAGUAAUGUUAAAAGAAGUUCUUUGGAGGAAAGAAAAAUACUAUGAUCAAAAAGUCAGAUCUACAUAAAGUAAGGAACAAGGAAUUGAAGAAGAAAUA